UGAGGCUUAGAGGGGAGGAUCCUGAUGAGUUUGUAGGAAAAGGCCUCUAAUACUUGUCUCUAUAGUCUAAUAUAACAAAAUGAAGCUGGGUCUCUUUGCUGUGUUGUUGUGUGCCAUGCAGUGGAGAGGCAGCAUGACAACAGCAGGACAUGAAAACCCCAUAUCAUGUUGUAGAGAAACCAGCAAAUACAGGGUCAGAGUUGAAAAGAUUGUGAGCUAUGUGCAUCAAGAUGAACCACUUUGCCCUAUCAAAGCUAUAAGGAAAGUUUAAUUUGGUACAUAGCAAAACAAUAUGCUCUAAUCCAGCAGAUCCUUGGGCCAAACAUGCCAUAAAGGAACUGGAUAGAAGAACAACAGCCAACAAGUAGAACCUGAUGCCAAUUGUGUCAACUGGGAAGCCUCCACUGCCAACAAGAUUUGACCUUGCUGUGGCUUCCUCUGCUUGGAUAAAUUCCAAAGCCUUAUCAGUAGAUCUGCUGGUUACAAAGAUAAUUCCAUAUGAAUCCUACAAAUAUUCAACCACUCUUUCACUCUUGAGAUAUUGCACUAACCAGAAAAUAAAAGCUAAUAAAGGUAAAUCAGGCUUAUAAUGUCUGGGCAGCAGUUUCAGAAUGUGUAACAUGAUGUAUAUUAAACUUACUGAAAGUGUUCUCAUCAUUCUAACUAACCUGUAUGGAUAAAUCUUAAACCCCCCAAAAAAAAAUUUUUUUUAGCGAAUAAAAAUCAUGUUUUGGUUUAUAUAUGAGAAAAAUGUCUUCGAUAUUAAAUUAACUUUUUCACAUUUGCCCAGAGAUUAAACGUUUACUCUUUACAUUUAAUGUUAAAUUGUUUGGAAUAUAUAUAUAUAUAUAUAUUUUCAUAUUCAAUUUGGAAAUUGUGACUGAAUAUUAUCUUUAAUAACCAACAAUCUUUAAUAUGGUGCUGUUACAGUCACUGGAGGCACGGGCACAGGUGGUUUCGCCAGUGAGAAAUUACGAUUAAAGAUGUAUUUUCCAAGAUGGUGUCAACAGCAUCUCAAAGCACACAUCAUUAAUCACAACAGCAUUAAUAAAUUAUUCUUUUAAAUCCUUUUUGGGAGGUAAAUGUU